ensembl:misc_RNA Metazoa_SRP Metazoan signal recognition particle RNA
GCUGAGCUGUGGCUCACACCUGUAAUUCCAACACUUUAGGAGGCCAAGGCAAGAGGAUCGCUCAAGCCCGGGAGUUCUAGGCUAUGAUGUACCAUGCCGAUCAGGUGUCUACACUAGGUUUGUCAUCAAUAUGGUGACCUCCCUGGAGCAGGGGACCACCAGGUUGCCUAGGCAGAGUGUACCAGGCCAGGUCGGAAACAAAGUGGGUCACAACUCCCAGGCUGAUCAGUAGUGGGAUCAUACCUGUGAAGAGCCACUCCACUCCAGCCUGGGCAACAUGGUGAGAUCCCAUCUCAA